GCUUACUUCUGCAACACAUAUACUAAAAUUGGGAUAAUUUAGAGAAGAUUAGCAUGGUCCCUGCACAAGGUUGACAUGCAAAUUUGUGCAGCGUUUUAUAGUGGC